rnacentral:rRNA from 1 species
GGUCAAGCGAACAAGUGCAUGUGGUGGAUGCCUUGGCGAUCACAGGCGAUGAAGGACGCGGUAGCCUGCGAAAAGCUACGGGGAGCUGGCAAACGAGCUUUGAUCCGUAGAUGUCCGAAUGGGGAAACCCGGCCCUUUUGGGUCAUCCUGGACUGAAUACAUAGGUCCAGUGAAGCGAACGCGGUGAACUGAAACAUCUAAGUAACCGCAGGAAAAGAAAUCAACCGAGAUUCCCAAAGUAGUGGCGAGCGAAAUGGGAUGAGCCUUGCACUCUUUAUUUGUAUUGUUAGCCGAACGCUCUGGAAAGUGCGGCCAUAGCAGGUGAUAGCCCUGUAGGCGAAAACAGUAUGAAAGAACUAGGUGUGCGACAAGUAGGGCGGGACACGUGAAAUCCUGUCUGAAGAUGGGGGGACCAUCCUCCAAGGCUAAAUACUCGUGAUCGACCGAUAGUGAACCAGUACCGUGAGGGAAAGGCGAAAAGAACCCCGGGAGGGGAGUGAAAUAGAUCCUGAAACCGCAUGCAUACAAACAGUCGGAGCCUCGUAAGGGGUGACGGCGUACCUUUUGUAUAAUGGGUCAGCGACUUACGUUCAGUAGCAAGCUUAACCGUAUAGGGCAGGCGUAGCGAAAGCGAGUCCGAAUAGGGCGUUCAGUUGCUGGGCGUAGACCCGAAACCAGGUGAUCUAUCCAUGGCCAGGAUGAAGGUGCGGUAACACGUACUGGAGGUCCGAACCCACUAACGUUGAAAAGUUAGGGGAUGAGCUGUGGAUAGGGGUGAAAGGCUAAACAAACCUGGAAAUAGCUGGUUCUCUCCGAAAACUAUUUAGGUAGUGCCUCGUGUCUCACCUUCGGGGGUAGAGCACUGUCAUGGUUGGGGGGUCUAUUGCAGAUUACCCCGCCAUAGCAAACUCCGAAUACCGAAGAGUGCAAUCACGGGAGACAGACAUCGGGUGCUAACGUCCGGUGUCAAGAGGGAAACAACCCAGACCGCCAGCUAAGGUCCCCAAAUAUAGCUAAGUGGGAAACGAAGUGGGAAGGCUAAAACAGUCAGGAGGUUGGCUUAGAAGCAGCCACCCUUUAAAGAAAGCGUAAUAGCUCACUGAUCGAGUCGUCCUGCGCGGAAGAUGUAACGGGGCUAAGCUAUAUACCGAAGCUGCGGAUGCGAGCUUUGCUCGCAUGGUAGGAGAGCGUUCCGUAAGCCUGCGAAGGUGCCUUGUAAAGGGUGCUGGAGGUAUCGGAAGUGCGAAUGCUGACAUGAGUAGCGAUAAAGGGGGUGAAAGGCCCCCUCGCCGUAAGCCCAAGGUUUCCUACGCAACGUUCAUCGGCGUAGGGUGAGUCGGCCCCUAAGGCGAGGCAGAAAUGCGUAGCUGAUGGGAAGCAGGUCAAUAUUCCUGCACCAUUGUUAGAUGCGAUGGGGGGACGGAUCGCGGAAGGUUGUCCGGGUGUUGGAAGUCCCGGUCGCUGCAUUGGAGAAGGCGCUUAGGCAAAUCCGGGCGCGUAAUUCAAGGGUGUGGCGCGAGCUCCUUAGGGAGCGAAGCAAUUGGAAGUGGUUCCAAGAAAAGCCUCUAAGCUUCAGUCUAACGAUGACCGUACCGCAAACCGACACAGGUGGGCGAGAUGAGUAUUCUAAGGCGCUUGAGAGAACUCGGGAGAAGGAACUCGGCAAAUUGGUACCGUAACUUCGGGAUAAGGUACGCCCUUGUAGCUUGACUGGCCUGCGCCAGGAGGGUGAAGGGGUUGCAAUAAACUGGUGGCUGCGACUGUUUAAUAAAAACACAGCACUCUGCAAACACGAAAGUGGACGUAUAGGGUGUGACGCCUGCCCGGUGCCGGAAGAUUAAAUGAUGGGGUGCAAGCUCUUGAUUGAAGUCCCGGUAAACGGCGGCCGUAACUAUAACGGUCCUAAGGUAGCGAAAUUCCUUGUCGGGUAAGUUCCGACCUGCACGAAUGGCGUAACGAUGGCCACACUGUCUCCUCCCGAGACUCAGCGAAGUUGAAGUGUUUGUGAUGAUGCAAUCUACCCGCGGCUAGACGGAAAGACCCCAUGAACCUUUACUGUAGCUUUGCAUUGGACUUUGAACCGAUCUGUGUAGGAUAGGUGGGAGGCUAUGAAACCGGAACGCUAGUUUCGGUGGAGCCGUCCUUGAAAUACCACCCUGGUUUGUUUGAGGUUCUAACCUUGGCCCGUGAUCCGGGUCGGGGACAGUGCAUGGUAGGCAGUUUGACUGGGGCGGUCUCCUCCCAAAGCGUAACGGAGGAGUACGAAGGUACGCUAGGUACGGUCGGAAAUCGUGCUGAUAGUGCAAUGGCAUAAGCGUGCUUAACUGCGAGACCGACAAGUCGAGCAGGUGCGAAAGCAGGUCAUAGUGAUCCGGUGGUUCUGUAUGGAAGGGCCAUCGCUCAACGGAUAAAAGGUACUCUGGGGAUAACAGGCUGAUACCGCCCAAGAGUUCAUAUCGACGGCGGUGUUUGGCACCUCGAUGUCGGCUCAUCUCAUCCUGGGGCUGUAGCCGGUCCCAAGGGUAUGGCUGUUCGCCAUUUAAAGAGGUACGUGAGCUGGGUUUAAAACGUCGUGAGACAGUUUGGUCCCUAUCUGCCGUGGGCGUUGGAUAUUUGAAGGGGGCUGCUCCUAGUACGAGAGGACCGGAGUGGACGAACCUCUGGUGUACCGGUUGUCACGCCAGUGGCAUCGCCGGGUAGCUAUGUUCGGAAGAGAUAACCGCUGAAAGCAUCUAAGCGGGAAACUCGCCUUAAGAUGAGAUAUCCCUGG